AUUGAACGCUGGCGGCAGGCCUAACACAUGCAAGUCGAGCGAGAGGCGGACGGGUGAGUAAUGUAUGGGGACUGCCCGCUAGAGGGGGAUAAUUACUGGGCACGAUGGCUAAUAACGCAUUAUAUAGGAUAACCAAUAUGGUAUUAGCUAGUAGGGGGGGUAAAGUCUAACCGAGGCGACGAUCUCUAGCUGGUCUGCGAGGAUGAUCGGCCACACGGGGACUGAGACACGGCCCAGACUCCUACGGAGGGAGCAGUGGGGAAUAGUGCACAAGGGGCGCAAGCCUGAUGCAGCCAUUCCGCGUGUAUGAAGAAGGCCUUAGGGUUGUAAAGUACUUUAAGCGGGGAGGCGUUACCCGCAGAAGAAGCACCGGCUAACUCCGUGCCAGCAGCCGCGGUAAUAC
rnacentral:rRNA from 1 species